rnacentral:lncRNA from 1 species
AGCGGGCUCCGGCAUUGGCCAGCCCAGAAAGGGGCUCCCAGAGUGCAGCGGUGGGCUGAAGGGCUCCUCAAGUGCCGCCAAAGUGGGAGCCCAGAUAGAGGAGGCGCCGAGAGCGAGGAGGGCUGUGAGGACUGCCAGCACGCUGUCACCUCUCAGUACUAUUUUAUGGUCUGUUUACAGUAAUCUUGAAAGAGAUAGAAAAGGACCUUGCUCUAUUGCCCUGGCUGGAGUGCAGUGGCAGGAACAUGGCUCACUGCAGCAUCGACCUCCUGGGCUCGAGUGAUCCUCCCAUCUAAGCCACCUGAUUAUCUGGGACUAUAGACCAGAACACGUUAGGAAACAUAUUCCACUAUUCAAAGGAUAAAGCUCUUCUUUCAAAUUGUGUACUGAAGAUAUUUAGUUAGAAAAAGACUCAGUAGUAUGCCUGGAUCUAGCAGAGGACACUGAGGAGUCCCUGGAAGAUUGCGGCAACACAAGACGGAGAAGCCAGGAUCCCAAAGCACCAAGUGAAAGACUGGUCGGCAAAAAUCCAUUUGAACUGUGAUGUGAGUGAAAAACAUAUGCCUGUUGAAUUAAGUAAUGAUCAAUGCUAUGCUCUGUUUGUACUCAUAGCAGCUUCUGUUAUGCCUUUUAUUAAUACGUCUGGCUUGUUUCCUUUUGAUCUCAGGGCUAAAAUAUCCCAUUUGAAAAACCACCCAUUUUUUUUCCAGUCUUCUGCUUUGUCAAGUUAUAUCAUAGCAAGUUUUUACAAUAAAUAAAACUCUAUAGUAAAAAAUAAUUU